rnacentral:pre_miRNA from 1 species
UCUUGAUCCCUGCAGCAGACAUGUGGCAUUGAGUCAGAAAAACCUUCAGUGCCACUGGUUUGUUGCAAUGGUCAAGGGA